rnacentral:rRNA from 1 species
CCUGCCGGCGAGUGGCGAACGGGUGAGUAAUGCAUCGGAACGUACCCAGUGGUGGGGGAUAGCUCGGCGAAAGCCGGAUUAAUACCGCAUACGCCCUGAGGGGGAAAGUGGGGGAUCUUCGGACCUCACGCCAUUGGAGCGGCCGAUGUCGGAUUACCUAGUUGGUGAGGUAAGGGCUCACCAAGGCGACGAUCCGUAGCUGGUCUGAGAGGAUGAUCAGCCACACUGGGACUGAGACACGGCCCAGACUCCUACGGGAGGCAGCAGUGGGGAAUUUUGGACAAUGGGCGCAAGCCUGAUCCAGCCAUGCCGCGUGAGUGAAGAAGGCCUUCGGGUUGUAAAGCUCUUUCAGUCGGGAAGAAAAGGCGGGCUCUAACAUAGCCUGUUGCUGACGGUACCGACAGAAGAAGCACCGGCUAACUCCGUGCCAGCAGCCGCGGUAAUACGUAGGGUGCGAGCGUUAUCCGGAAUUACUGGGUUUAAAGGGUGCGUAGGCGGCCUGCUAAGUCAGUUGUGAAAUCCCCUUGCUUAACGAGUGGAGUUGCGAUUGAUACUGUCAGGCUUGAAUCGGGAUGAGGCAGGCGGAAUGUGGCAUGUAGCGGUGAAAUGCAUAGAUAUGCCAUAGAACACCGAUUGCGAAGGCAGCCUGCUGGGCCUGUAUUGACGCUGAGGCACGAAAGCGUGGGGAUCAAACAGGAUUAGAUACCCUGGUAGUCCACGCCGUAAACGAUGCUUACUUGCUGUUCCUGGUGUGCUGGGUGCGGCGUAGCGAAAGCGAUAAGUAAGCCACCUGGGGAGUACGCCGGCAACGGUGCUGUCG